GGGACCCCAGUGUCUGAUGUCUGAGUAGACCCUUCCCAGACAGCAGGGGAGGGAACCAGACAGCAGCCGUCUGUCUGUCUCAUUGGGGACAGCACCAAGCCUUGUGUUUGGGGGCUGACACUUGGGGUGGCCAGUGUGGGUGGGACCAGGCCUCAGUAUCGUCUCUUCCUAGGCCAAGUCCAGGGGCGUGGAGGCCGCCCGGGAGCGGAUGUUCAAUGGUGAGAAGAUCAACUACACCGAGGGUCGAGCCGUGCUGCACGUGGCUCUGCGGAACCGGUCAAACACACCCAUCCUGGUAGACGGCAAGGAUGUGAUGCCAGAGGUCAACAAGGUUCUGGACAAGAUGAAGUCUUUCUGCCAGGUAAGUGGCUACUGGGCCGGACUCACCCUUGGCCGUGUGUGUGAGUUAUUUGGGAAUCUGGGAGCCCUAAGGGGCAGCUCUUCCCUCUUCUUGUAGGCAGGACUCAGGUUCUCACUGCAGCUUAAGGGAGGGGUUGCCUGUGUGAUCGCUGACCCUGGAGUCUCUGCUGAGGCCUGAAUUUCUCCUGGCUCUGCUCUGAAGGAAUCUGCUGCUGGCAGAAGUGGGGCCAGUUUCUUUCCUGAAUUGUAGACACCUAUGGACUCAUGGUGACAAACCACAGAGGCUUCAAAUGAAAAGUGGGGCCCCUGAGAGACAGGACAGUCAGGAAAGGAAGGAGCUUUUUCUUUUUUCUUUUUUUUUUUUUGAGAUGGAGUCUCACUCUCUCGCCCAGAGUGGACUGCAGUCGUGCUAUCUCAGCUCACUGCAACUUCCGCCUCCUGGAUUCAAGCUAUUCUCCUACCUCAGCCUCCCGAGUAGCUGGAAUUACAAUUAUGCGCCACCCUGCUCAGCUAAUUUUUGUAUUUUUAGUAGAGACGGGAUUUCACCAUGUUGGCCAGGCUGGUCUCAAACCCCUGACCUCAGGUGAUCUGCCUGCCUCACCUGGGAUUACAGGCAUGAGCCACUGCGCCUGGCCGGAAGGAGCUUUUUCUAAUCUCUUUUGUCAUACGCCCUUAUCACCCAGUCUAGAAACAGAUAAAACAUUGUAAAAUUUCCUCAACCCUGGCUGGGCGCGAUGGCUCAUGCCUGUGAUUCCUGAACUUUGAGAGGCCGGGGUGGGUGGAUCACUUGAGGUAAGGAGUUCGAGACCAGCCUGGCCAUCAUGGUGAAACCCCAUCUCCACUAAAAAUACAAAAAUUAGCCAGUUUUGGUGACAUACGCCUGCAAUCCCAGCUACUUGGGAGACUGAGGCAGGAGAAUCGCUUGAACCCGUGCGGCAGAGGUUGCAGUGAGCUGCGAUUGCGCCACUGCACUCCAGCCUGGGCGACAGAGGGAGACUCUGU
rnacentral:lncRNA from 1 species